CCAAGUGUAUGGUGUCAGUUAAUGAAGGUGGUUUAGUAAGAAGUGGCAUGGGAUGGAUGUUGGCCUCCACCUUUUCCCAUCCUGGGAUGGAUGAAGGGCUGCUGAAGCUCAGGAAGACACUAGCCAAUGGUGCCUGCCGGAUAGAUUGCGAUUCUGGAGCGCUGGGACUUGAGGGUGAGGGGGUUUAGCAAGCUACGUAGAGAGGAGAGGUUGGCGAGCUGGGGGAUAGAAGACAUAGCUAGCCCCUCUUGGCAUUUCGGCUCUUGGAGAAAUCGUCGGUCCUACUCUAUCGCCCACCCUGAAACCCAAGGGGAAGAAAGGCGAGUUGAGUAGAAACUCCUCUAUCCCUUCAGCUUAAGGAGACGGACUUUCUGUUCAUGGACACUGAACGGUUCUCUUGGACUGUGGGUGGUGGUGUUAAAUCCCGCGGAUGAACAGCACACCGCCUCCUCUGGAACGCUUCGAUGACAGACAUUUCAUCCCAUAAUGCCAUGCCUUUGUGUUGGCCACACCCCAUGCCUGGAAUGCACUCCCUCCCAACCUCUGGGUCUUAGAAUUCCUAGUUUCCUUCAAAACUCAACUCAAGUUUCAUUUUCGACACCUUCACAGAGACCCUAUAGAAAGCAAGCUGGUUUCUUCAGGUCAAGCACUUUUUAUUUUUGUCAUAGGAUCCCCAGUGCCUGGAACAUAGU